UACGGAGGGGGCGAGCGUUGUUCAGAUUUACUGGGCGUAAAGGGCGCGUAGGCGGCCACCGCAGGUCAGUUGUGAAAUCUCUGGGCUUAACCCAGAACGGUCAGCUGAUACUGCGGGGCUAGAGUGCAGAAGGGGCAACUGGAAUUCUCGGUGUAGCGGUGAAAUGCGUAGAUAUCGAGAGGAACACCUGCGGCGAAGGCGGGUUGCUGGGCUGACACUGACGCUGACAGCGCGAAAGCUAGGGGAGCGAACGGG
rnacentral:rRNA from 1 species